rnacentral:rRNA from 1 species
AGAGUUUGAUCCUGGCUCAGGAUGAACGCUGGCGGCGUGCCUAAUACAUGCAAGUCGAGCGAACUGAUUAGAAGCUUGUCUCUUUGAUGUUCGCGGCGGACGGGAGAGUAACGCGUGGAACCCCUGUGUGUAAGAGUGAGAUAUCUUCGGAAAACCGAAUCUAAUACCGGAAAGGAUCUUCUCCUUCGUGUCAUAUGAGUGAAAGAUGUUUUCGUGUAUCUUUUACAGAUGGCCCCGCGGUGUUUUAUGUAGGUGGAGAGGUAACGUCUCACCAAGGAAACGAUGCAUACCAGACCUGAGAGGGAGAUCGCCCACUGUGGGACUGACACACGCCCCACACUCCUACGGGAGGUAGCAGUAGGAAAUCUUCCGCAGUGGAAGAAAGUGUGACAGAGCCACCCCGCGAGAGAGAUGAAGGCUUUAGGCUCGAAAAACUCUGGUGUUAGAAAAGAACAAGUACGAGAGUCUGUGCUCGUACCUUGACGGUACCUAACCAGAGAGACGCGUCUAUCUACGUGCCCACAGCCGCGGUAAUACGGAGGUGGAGAGCGUUAUCGAGUAUUAGUGCGCGAA